rfam:Ixodes scapularis strain Wikel colony gcontig_1108378956126, whole genome shotgun sequence.
CCCUGGUUAGGUCAGUUGGUAGAGCGCUCCACCUGUAAUGGAGAGGUCCGGGUUCGAUACCCGGACCAGGCG